rnacentral:rRNA from 1 species
GACGAACGCUGGCGGCGUGCUUAAUACAUGCAAGUCAACUGAACUUAAGAUAGCAAUAUUUUUAAGGGAGGUGGCGCACGGGUGAGUAACACGUAGGUAAUCUGCCUUUAGGUCUGACAUAACCUACCGAAAGGUAGGCUAAAAUCAGAUGAUGCAGCGGCUCGACAUCGAGACAGUUGUUAAAUCUUCGGAGCCUAGAGAUGAGCCUGCGUCUGAUUAGGUAGUUGGCGGAGUAAUAGCCCACCAAGCCUGCGAUCAGUAGCUGGUCUGAGAGGAUGAUCAGCCACACUGGAACUGAGACACGGUCCAGACUCCUACGGGAGGCAGCAGUAAGGAAUAUUGCUCAAUGGCCGAAAGG